GGUCAUCUCAGAGCCUUCUCUUCUUCAGGCUGAACAGCUCUAGCUCUCUCAGCCUGUUCUGUAGGAGAGGUGUUCUAUCCCUUGGAUUUUCAUGACCUUGGUCAAGGAACUGUAUUAAAACCUGAUGGCUGAGAAAAAAAUUGGUAAUAUUCCACCACUAUGGAAAAACUUGCAAUUACAGACUCAAAAGACAAUUGGACCUCUGGCAUCAGUAAUUAAAGCAGGAAUUGCCAAGAAAGUGUUAUCUGCAAAGGCAACAAAGGUAUUUGUAUUUUGUGUUUCUACCUGAGUAUUUCAUUCUGAUGUGAUGCAGCCAUAAGGUUAGUUUAGUUGGUAAAAACUGUAAUUACUUCUUGAUUUCAUAAGGUCUUUACAGUAUCAUGUGAGCUAGGAGACCAAUGGUUUUUUAUAUCUUUGGUCACAUAAUUAGCCAUAGAAUGUGUCUAAAAAGUGUGGUCUUCUACCGCUUGAAAUGCACUUAGAGUAUGUUCAGUCCAUAGUCAUGCUCUUUGCUUCAAGGCAUGCUUUAGUUUGUUGGCAGGUGAUGCCUUGGUUUCCCCAUGCUUGUGGCCUGUUAGUAAAUAUGAAACUGAAAUUCUUUCUAGUAAUGUGACUAAUACUUCACCUCACAUAAAUAUGUUAGAAUGUGUUGUCAUUGGACAUGCAUGACGAAAUGAAGAAUCUACAGUAUUUUAUUCAUAUGCUUAGAUUAUUAUAUUGUGUACAAUAUAUUGCCUUUAUCUUGUGUACAUGAGUUUACUAAAUUUUAAUGUGAUGAUUUUCAUCCAAGCAUCUCAGAUCAUGAAUGUACAGAAACCUUUUGAGAAAGAGUUGAAUAUUCUGUAGAAUAGAAUUCCUCUAUGGUUUUCUUUUAAUUGAGGAGUAAGAGAGUAUUCAGUUUUGCACCCAGACAUUUCUUGUGCCUUGGUGUAACAUCUGAAUGACUUGCCUGAAUUUUCCUUCACUUCAUUGCCAAAAUAAUCCAAUGCCCUUACUGACCACAAUUACACUCCCUGACUAGCUCAACUUGAGCUCCAAAUUGAACAAACCUGUUACUACAAGGUGCUUAAAUUCUGAACAGAUGAUCGCAGUGUGCUAUCUGAUUUGGCACAGGUGUGACCUCAGUCUGCCAGCAUGCAAGUACACCUAAAUGGAGCUUUUCAGUUAUACGUGGGUUUUUGUAGUCUGUAAUGUUGUUCACUUUUGAUACAAAAAGCAGGUUUCCAGAUAGUUCCUGGACCUAGUAUAUAAGCCAUUGAUGACUUUCCUUCUUGCUUGACUAUAAUGGAUAUCAAGGAUUGGCUGGCAGAACUGAGCUCACCUAUAUUUUUGGAGGAACUCUGCUACUCAGUAACUUGAAGUAUUCCUUUUUUUUUUUUAUUUUUUUGAAUGAAUUGUCGUUAGAAUCUUCUUUUAUGACAAUCUGACCAUGAUCAGGAUGAGUCAAGCCAGGAUGAGGAGCACUGUACAUAUACAAGAAUCAAGCCCCACACUAACAGGAGCAGAAUACCUAGCACUCCUAGGUGCUAGAAAUACAACAUACAGCAAAGAGAUGUUAUUGUGCAAAAAUGAUAACCAAAACUAUCAAGAAGUAAAGAGGCAUGCACAAAAAAAAGAUAAAAGCCUGCUUUAUCUUUUCUGGGUGGCGUAGGUAUCUCUAUUUAUGUUUUAAUCAGAUAAAAGCAAUAGUGAAAGAGGAAAGAAAAUGUCAUUGGCUUGAUUGCUUUCACAGUUUUUACUGUGGGAGAUAUUAAAAACAUUAACAAUAGAUGGUAUCAUAAGAGGCUUCUGAUAACUUAUAAUUCUCUCGAGCCAGCUGGGAAUGAAAAGCUUGAAAAUGUUUCCCAAGUGAAAAAUUUAUCUGUCAGAAUGAAAUUUUCAUUUUCUGUCUCUUAUGCUGUGACUCUUCUAUCAGACUCACUUGGGAUGUACUGAGUAAGGCAAUAUUUAAAAAAAUAAAAUAAUAAUUCUCUAGAGUGCUCAUCCAGCACUGUCAUGUAAUUUGAAAACAGCUGAACUGCAUUCUUGUCCUUCUCUCCAUGCUAAGAUGCAAUAUUUUCAUUCAUGUUUGUUGUUGAGGUUUCACAGCUUAAGAAAUCUGCCUAAAUAUUUAACUUCCUUGGAAGUCAGCACUCUUUG